rnacentral:lncRNA from 1 species
UCCCGGGCCGUCAGGUCCAGCCUGCGCCCGGGGGGGGGGCCCUGCGCAUCCCGCCCGUCCAGUCCAGCCUGGGGCCCUGCGCAUCCCGCCCGUCCAGUCCAGCCUGCGCCCGGGGGCGGGGGGGGGCGUCGGCGCGCCAGCCCGGCUUCCGCGCACAAGCCAGGACCGUACGGGGCGCGACGCUCGCGCCCGCUAACCUGUGCCUCGGUGUCCGUUGCUGUUGCAGGCCGGCGCGGUGAACAAGCAGGGCGACAGCAUCCUGUGCCGCUGAGCCGCGCGGUCCAGGUGCGCGGCCCGCCUGAGCCCGAGCCAGGAGCACUAGGAAGGGAGGGGGAAAGAGCAGAAAUUGCAGAAAAAGCCACCGAGGAAAGGAAAAAAAAAAUUCAGCAAAUCCUAGAAACGUUUCAUUCGUCAUUCCGAGAGAGAGAGAGAGAGAGAGACAGAGGGGAGGGGGGGAGGAAAAAUACAAUUUUCAUCCUUUUUUUUUUUUUUUUUUUUAAUUACCUGGAGUUGUAUAAGAUAUUACAUUCUAUGUAUGGCCUGUGACCUAACCAAGCAACCAGACAACAAAAACAUUUCAAGUUGUUUAGUCCUAAGUAUUCAGAUACUUGGUUUAACUGAUGAUUAGGAAAAUGUCCUAACUUCUUAGUUUAGGUAGUUUUCAUUUUAUAGGGACAAAGAGUACAAAGCAUUUAAAACCUGAAAAGGAAUAAAAAAGUAUCCCACAGUGGGAUGUCA